rnacentral:rRNA from 1 species
CAGUAGCCGCGGUAAUACAGAGGAUGCAAGCGUUAUCCGGAAUGAUUGGGCGUAAAGCGUCUGUAGGUGGAUUUUCAAGUCCGCCGUCAAAUCCCAGGGCUCAACCCUGGACAGGCGGUGGAAACUACCAAGCUGGAGUACGGUAGGGGCAGAGGGAAUUUCUGGUGGAGCGGUGAAAUGCGUUGAGAUCGGGAAUAACACCAAUGGCGAAAGCACUCUGCUGGGCCGACACUGACACUGAGAGACGAAAGCUAGGGGAGCAAAUGGGAUUAGAGACCCCCGUAGUCCCUGUCUCUUAUAC